GGUUAAAAAUGUUAUAUGAACUGUUAUGUGUUUGAAUAAACACGUACGCACUCUCUACAAGAUGCCUUUGUCUGUUCAUAUAAUAUAAGGCUUGUGUGUGUCUUAUCUUCAAGGACAAUUACAUACCAGAUCAAAACUGUUACUUCUGUGUGUUACUAAAAUAUCCUGCAUGUAAUGUCGUAUGCUACUUCUAUUUAUCCAAUCAUAUGCUUGCACAUAUUGUAUACACCCAUGUUUCUUUUCUAUAUAGUACGCUGUAAUUUAUUAAAUAAACAGAGUAAUUCUUAACCACUGACUCGUGUGCUGUCUGUAUGGGGUUAAGAACUGCUUUCACUGGUACCAGAGAUGGUUACAUCGAGGAGGCACAAAAAGGGUUAAAUUCCCUUCAGCUGGGGGCUAGGUCCGGGAUCUAGGUGAUCGUCCCCUGCCCGGAACCGACACAUCCUUUUCAAGUCGGAGACAAAGUCAUUGUGAAAGUGCUCCCGAGGAACAAAGGUCCAGGAGAUUUCACCUAUGGUCCAGAGACGGAAGUCGUGGCAGUGACCAGGACGGCUGUCCUUACUGAAGAGGGGCCCACGUGGAUUCAUGCAUCCCGAGUAAAGAAGGUACCCAGACCAGACCGUGAGGGAGAUUCCAGAGAGGUACUAACGGGGGCAGACAGCCCUGACCUCCAACAUGGAGAAGAGGACCCUUUUGCUGACAAAACAAACCCAGAAUUCUACUCAAAUAUGGACUCUGAUUACCCUACUUAUACUUGCCUAUCAGACACCCAUAUUCAGAACUGAAGUAGAUAUUACACAAACGAAUGGACAAACCUCCCUAUGGUAUAAUUCAUCCAGCACUCAUGUGGCCACAUAUACUGUAGAAUAUAAAGAUUUUCUUUCAAACUAUAUGUGGAAAAUUAGAGCAAAUAGAUAAGGUAUAGGAACAGAAAUUGUUUAUGUUUGUGUUACCAGCAAGAAUUGGGGAAAGAACUGUGAUCAUUGGGGAGCCGUGGGAUGGAACACUGGUAUUGAUUGGGGUCACAAACCCAGCGAGGCUUUAAGCAAGAAGGAUAAAAAUAACAAGUCCUUAAUGAUGGGGAAGUGGACAUUAUAGUCAAAAGAUAAUAACAGGGAAUACAAACAUUUCACCUAAAAGACAUGUACGCCCUGCUCAAAAUCUAACAAACCACGGCCCAACUCCAUCAUGCCUCACAUAACUACAUUCAAGGAUAUAAUAGCCAUAGAUAACCCCACAUUUAAAGACACUAUGGCCAUUGAGACUGGAUUUUCUGAUAUUAAUUUUUAGGUUGGAAUGGAUGAGAUAUAAUAUAAAGAAGCAUAAUGUGAGCAAUUGUUAUGUAUGUGGUAAAUCUAGACCUCAUUUAGGCACGGUCCCUUUAAAUAUCCCACUAUCUCAAGAAAGCUGUUUUCUUUUUAGUCUCUACAAUGAUACAAAAACCAAUGACAGUGAUUGUGAAACAUGGAAAAAGGAAUACCCCAUACUAUCAAAGAACCCCAACCCAGGUAGCACAAUAACCAUAUACCCAGGUAAUUACACCUGCUAUAUAUCAAACACUACCUCAGGGAAGGAUUUAAAAAUCUUUCCUCCAGGGUACUGUACAGAAAAAAAGAACUACCGUCUUAGUUAAUCAAACUAAGUCUUUAGGUGACAUUUAUUACAUCUGUGGAGAUAUGAAGCUAAGAACUAAAUUAGACACUGCAUGGAAAGGGGAAUGCGUCCUUGCCAAAAUAAUUAUGCCCCUCCACAUUCUUCCAGAUGAUGAACAAAUAUCCCCUCCUGUUGUUUCCCCCAAUAAAAGGAAGAGGGAACUCCCAGGAGGUAGUUUUUGAUCCACAUGUAUAUAUUGAUGCAAUAAGGGUCCCAAGAGGGGUGCCAGACAAAUUCAAAGCUAGAGAUGAAGUAGCUGCAAGAUUUGAAUCCUUAAUCCCUAUAAUAACUGCUAAUAAAAAUGUUGCAUGGAUUAAUUGUAUCUACUAUAAUCAGCAGAGAUUUGUAAAUGACACAAAAGAUGCUCUUAAGGGUCUUUCUGAGCAACUAGAAGCCACUUCCCAGAUGACAUUCCAAAACCAAAUGGCCCUUGAUAUGAUACUAGCAAAAAAGGUGGUACUUGUGUUUACAUUAGUAAGGUAGAAGGGUGUUGUACCUAAUAACCUGACAAUACAGGCCCUAAUGGUAAAGUUACCUUAGCCAUAAAAAAAAACUAGAUGAUUUAUCCAUAGAGCUAAAAAAAGAAUUCAGGUAUUGAUAAUCCAUGGAGCCAAUACUUUGGUUGGUUUGAAAAUUGGAAACAGGGUCUUGUUCAACUAGGAAUCUACAUAUUGAUUGUGAUAGCAACCUUUUGUGUUGUUUUCUUUUGCAUUAUACCCUGCUGCAGAAAACUCGCCACAAAAGGUAUUGAAAACUCGCUUAUGUAUGAAGCCGUCCUUACAAUCUCUCCUAAUUCCCCUGCAGCCUAUAAGCAAUACCUAACCGAAUAUAGAAAUAAAAAGCUCUAUGAAAAGAAUCAUGUUAUAUAAAUAUAUGAUUCUAAGAGGGGAUUGAAGGGUUAAAAAUGUUAUAUGAACUGUUAUGUGUUUGAAUAAACACGUACGCACUCUCUACAAGAUGCCUUUGUCUGUUCAUAUAAUAUAAGGCUUGUGUGUGUCUUAUCUUCAAGGACAAUUACAUACCAGAUCAAAACUGUUACUUCUGUGUGUUACUAAAAUAUCCUGCAUGUAAUGUCGUAUGCUACUUCUAUUUAUCCAAUCAUAUGCUUGCACAUAUUGUAUACACCCAUGUUUCUUUUCUAUAUAGUACGCUGUAAUUUAUUAAAUAAACAGAGUAAUUCUUAA